UGAGGAAUAUUGGUCAAUGGGCGGGAGCCUGAACCAGCCAAGUCGCGUGAAGGAAGAAGGAUCUAUGGUUCGUAAACUUCUUUUGCAGGGGAAUAAAGUGCAGGACGUGUCCUGUUUUGUAUGUACCCUGAGAAUAAGGAUCGGCUAACUCCGUGCCAGCAGCCGCGGUAAUACGGAGGAUCCGAGCGUUAUCCGGAUUUAUUGGGUUUAAAGGGUGCGUAGGUGGUUUGAUAAGUCAGCGGUGAAAGUUUGCAGCUUAACUGUAAAAAUGCCGUUGAAACUGUCGGACUUGAGUGUAAAUGAGGUAGGCGGAAUGCGUGGUGUAGCGGUGAAAUGCAUAGAUAUCACGCAGGACUUCGAUUGCGAAGGCAGCUUACUAAGCUACAACUGACACUGAAGCACGAAAGCGUGGGGAUCAAA
rnacentral:rRNA from 1 species